rnacentral:tRNA from 1 species
GGGCGAUUAGCUCAGUUGGGAGAGCGCCUGCCUUACAAGCAGGAGGUCGGCAGUUCGAGCCUGUCAUUGCCCACCA